rnacentral:rRNA from 1 species
AUUGAACGCUGGCGGCAGGCCUAACACAUGCAAGUCGAGCGGAUGACGGGAGCUUGCUCCUUGAUUCAGCGGCGGACGGGUGAGUAAUGCCUAGGAAUCUGCCUGGUAGUGGGGGACAACGUUUCGAAAGGAACGCUAAUACCGCAUACGUCCUACGGGAGAAAGCAGGGGACCUUCGGGCCUUGCGCUAUCAGAUGAGCCUAGGUCGGAUUAGCUAGUAGGUGAGGUAAUGGCUCACCUAGGCGACAAUCCGUAACUGGUCUGAGAGGAUGAUCAGUUAAACUGGAACUAGGACACGGUCCAGAAUCUUACGGGAGGCAGCAGUGGGGAAUAUUGGACAAUGGGCGAAAGCCUGAUCCAGCCAUGCCGCGUGUGUGAAGAAGGUCUUCGGAUUGUAAAGCACUUUAAGUUGGGAGGAAGGGCAGUAAGCGAAUACCUUGCUGUUUUGACGUUACCGACAGAAUAAGCACCGGCUAACUCUGUGCCAGCCGCCGCCGUAAUAC